GUGAGCCGUAUGAUGGGCAACUAUCUCCUGCGGUUCGGAGAGGACUCGGC
rnacentral:ncRNA from 1 species